GCUAAGGAACCCCAAAGCACGCACUCAUGGACCCUAAGUCAUAUGCCCCAGCAACUAGUGUUCUCUCCCUGCACUGUCUUGACUUCCUUGAGUGGUCCCUCUAGGCAUGACCUGUUCUGCCUCCAGGAUCUCCAUUCUGAUUGCUAUGUGAUAUGUUACAGAGGUUGUGAGUUGCAUUUUGCUGAUGUGUUUGAAACUAAUAGAGAAGAGGAUAGUCAGAAUGGAAUGACUUACUAUUCCUGGUUACUACAGCUCUCCUGAGUCAGAACGCUGAAAAAGAAAUCAAUCUCUCUGGCAAAAGAUUGGAGCUUAAAGGAACUUGUGUGGACAGAGAGACAACAGUUGUCAGAGCAACAAUCUACGUUUGUUCGUACCUGAUAUCUAUACAUUUAGAUGCAAAUUGUAUCUGCUUCCCUAAACCAGCAUUAUUUUCUUGUUAAGGUGAAUCAUAAUUUUUGCACAUCUCAGUCUUGAUGGUGGCUUCCUAAACAAAGAUGUAAGUUCUGCAACUGCUUAAGAUCUCUUGUGCGACUUGGGACAACUAUUUAACCUAAGAAUCAGUUUCCUCAUCUGUAACUGAAUUAGUCUGGGUUAAAUGAUCUCUAAGUUCUU